UACGUAGGGGGCUAGCGUUGUCCGGAAUCAUUGGGCGUAAAGAGCGUGUAGGCGGCCCGGUAAGUCCGCUGUGAAAGUCGGGGGCUCAACCCUCGGAUGCCGGUGGAUACUGUCGGGCUCGAGUACGGAAGAGGCGAGUAGAAUUCCUGGUGUAGCGGUGAAAUGCGCAGAUAUCAGGAGGAACACCGGUGGCGAAGGCGGUUCUCUGGGCCUUACCUGACGCUGAGGAGCGAAAGCGUGGGGAGCGAACAGG
rnacentral:rRNA from 1 species